rnacentral:rRNA from 1 species
UACAGAGGUCUCAAGCGUUGUUCGGAUUCAUUGGGCGUAAAGGGUGCGUAGGUGGCGCCGUAAGUCAGGUGUGAAAUUUCGGAGCUUAACUCCGAAACUGCAUUUGAUACUGCGGUGCUUGAGGACUGGAGAGGAGACUGGAAUUUACGGUGUAGCAGUGAAAUGCGUAGAGAUCAUGAGGAAGACCAGUGGCGAAGGCGGGUCUCUGGACAGUUCCUGAUACUGAGGCACGAAGGCCAGGGGAGCAAACGGG